rnacentral:rRNA from 1 species
CCUACGGGGGGCUGCAGUGAGGAAUAUUGGUCAAUGGCCGGAAGGCUGAACCAGCCAAGCCGCGUGAAGGACGAAGGUGCCAAGCAUUGUAAACUUCUUUUGUCAAGGGACAAAAUCAGGCUCGAGAGCCUGACCGAGGGUACUUGAAGAAAAAGCAUCGGCUAACUCCGUGCCAGCAGCCGCGGCAAUACGGAGGAUGAGAGCGUGCUCGGGAUUUAUUGGGUUAAAGGGGUGCGUAGGCGGGCUGUUAAGUUAGGGGGAAAAGCCCGGGGCUCAACCCCGGCUGGCAGUUGAUACUGGUUGUCUUGAGAUGUGGAGAGGUAUGCGGAAUGCGCGGUGUAGCGGUGAAAUGCGUAGAUAUUGCGAAGAACACUGAUGGCGAAGGCAGCAUCCCGG